CCACUGCCCUUCUCCCGCCUCUGGCUCGGCCCCGUCCCCUCCCACCCACCAGCCCACCCUCCGGCCCGGCUCGCGCUACCGGCAUCUGUUUCCGGGCGGGCUUCCAGAGGCCGGCGCACAAGAUGGCGGCCUUGGCGGCAUGAGGAAGGCGGCCGCGGCUCGGCCGUGGGCUCUAGCGCGGGGCUGGAGGCCGGAGUCAGGCUUCGCCCCGGUGACGGGUAGUAGGGGCGUCGACGCCAGGUCUCGUGGGGUGCAACACCUGCUUGCUGCUGCCUCCGGACCCUGCUGCCACACCAGUCCUGCCUCCGGACGGAACCGAAGGAAGGUCAGGCCCAGCUGACCCGCCCCGUCCGUCCUUCCUCCGGGCGGUCACUGUGCGUGGCUCACUUAGAGUUUACUUCAACCACGUGGAGCUCCCAUGGCGGCUUCUCAGGUCCUGGGGGAGAAGAUUAACAUCCUGUCGGGCGAGACUGUCAAGGCUGGGGACAGGGACCCGCUGGGGAACGACUGUCCCGAGCAAGAUAGGCUCCCCCAGCGCUCCUGGAGGCAGAAGUGCGCCUCUUACGUGCUGGCCUUGAGGCCCUGGAGCUUCAGUGCCUCACUCACACCGGUGGCCCUGGGCAGUGCCCUGGCCUACAGAUCCCACGGUGUACUGGAUCCCAGGCUCUUGGUGGGUUGUGCCGUGGCUGUCCUGGCUGUGCACGGGGCCGGUAAUUUGGUCAACACUUACUAUGACUUUUCCAAGGGCAUUGACCACAAAAAGAGUGAUGACAGGACACUUGUGGAUCGAAUCUUGGAGCCCCAGGAUGUCGUCCGGUUCGGAGUCUUCCUCUACACGUUGGGCUGCUUCUGUGCAGCUUGUCUCUACUACCUGUCCUCUCUGAAACUGGAACACUUGGCCCUCAUCUACUUUGGAGGCCUCUCUGGCUCCUUUCUCUACACAGGAGCACUCCUGUGACCAAGCACUCUUCUGGAUUCUGGACUAGCUGUGUGGGUGAGCAAGAUGAGAAAACUCAGUCUUGGAAGGCAAAGUGACAGCAUGCUGGAAGAAGAGCAGAGAGGAAUUGGAACUCACUCAGGACCUUUGGAAGCUUCAUCUUUCUGGAGGGAAAACCCGGCAUUCAUCCUUGGUCUCCACUGGCUCCUUCUCUGUCUCCAAAGAAAAUUUUAAAUAAUAUGGGAGGCGAAGCUGCCUGAAGGCUUGGGGCAAGUGAUGGCCCCAAUCUCUCCCCGGGGCUUGACUACUUUGCUGGAGCUGUCUCCGCAGGCCCUCUGUGUAUGGUCAGGAUUGGAAGGAGCACUGGAUGGGGAGUUUGUGGGGCAAAUAAAUCUCUACCUCUGAGUUCUGAGGGAAGGCAGUUGGUAUUGGAAGAGGUCAUGGGAAGCAGAUUUUUAGAUGGGAUUUUUUGAGUUGUAUGACUGUCACGUCCAGCAAUGAGGCCUCCAUCCCUGGGGGAAAGAGACCACCCAAAAUCCUGAAAAAAUGGUCCCUGGAUGGACAGACCCACUCUAUGAAGCAAGUGGAUCCCAGCAGAACGAGGGGUGGCUGUAAUGAAUGACACAUGCCCCACACAGAUCUGCUGAGGACCAAGGCGCUCAUUCUCCCACUACUGGAGUGCUGGGAGUGCUGGCCGCUGAUGGCUCAUGGCGAAGUCCCUCCCCCAGAAUUGCCCUCUGCUGAAGGGAGUUGUCUCACUUAAGAUUAUGCCCCCUCCUCAAGGGCAGCCCAGAUCCAGUGACUGGUCCAGGAAGGGGCACACAGUUCUGACUCCUUUAGCUUGAUUUGAGACAGCUUCGAAGGGUCGGUCCAGCUCUGGAUCUCCCUGCAGAAUUGGCAGAGGCCUCUGUGGCAGCUGCAUCACAGUCCAGCAUCUCUCUCUGCCUAAUCCUGCUUCCUCUCAGCCACCUAACAUGGCUGCAGAUGAGUUCUCCACGCUAAGCCUCCUUUAUGCAAACCUGACCCUCGGAGUUUGUCUGCUGGGGAAGCUGACCUAAGUCACUGAAGAUGGUGAGGUAUGGGGGUUGUUUUUGCCACACUGGUCUUGAACUCCUGAGCUCAGGUAAUCUGCCUGCCUUGGCUUUCCAAAGGUCUGGGAUUACUGUUGUGAGCCACAGUGCCCGGCCUCUGCUCCCCUUUAGAUGCCAGACCCAGAAAGGCCGGGUAGCUCUCGGGCUGCUCACCUUCUGUGUAUCUUCUCCUGUGGAUUUUAGAAAUGAGCAUGGAAUUCUAGAGGAAUGAGUCAGGUGGAGGAACAGGAGCCCAAGAUGAAAACUACAGGUCAAGUGGGCAGACAGGGAAGUGAGGGAUGAAAAUUCACAGUGCAUCAAUUUAUACCCCAGUUACAAGCCUCCAGGCCUUCAAAACAGGGACAUUAGGAAAGCUGGUUUGUGAAAGGAUUCACUAUGGGGCUCAUCUGGAAGGGUGGCUUCUAUCGCAUUCAAUAUACAUUUGCAUAAUACAGUAACAGGAGUGGGUUUGUAGAUGGCCGGUGGUGCUGGCACCAUUCCUUCCACGAAUGCUCCUGAGAACUCCAUGAGGAUGAUCAUAAUCUCCAUCUUAUACAAGGGGAAACUGAGGCUCAGAAAGGUUAAGCGACUGACCCCACAGUCAAACAUGAAGUGGCAGAAUUGAGUGUCAGACCCAGGUCUGCUGUACCCAAAGGCAAUCACAGUGGUCACUGAGGUGCCCUGCUGUUUUGAGACCCCAUAGAGAAAGUGUGGCCAGUCCGUGUUCCUCUUACUGAUCUAUUUAUUUUAUGUUGUCUUCUGGGCAUGCUCUGUUCCUGCCUGAAGUCCACUUCCUGGGGCUGGUGAGAGGGCCAGGAAGGAGGCUUCUGAGUGAGGUCCCCCUGCCUCCCUCUGACCCCAUGUCUCUGGGUCUGUUUCCCUCCCAUGCUCCCGCUUGCUGGGACCUGGCUGUUGGAUUCAAUAUGUGGCCUCAGGAAGUCCUCUGUCUCCUGCUUCGAGACACUGUCUUGGUGCUGAGAGCUUGAGGGGCUCCCACUCUGAUAAUAACCUCCAAAUGGACCCUCACGUUGGCCCAGCCUAGGGUUUUGGAGCCAAUGGCUUUUUCCCGAUGUGACUUUGGGCAGAGGACUCUACCUUUCUGAGCUCAGUUUUCUUACUUGCAAAAUGGGCAUAACACCGUCUUCCCCUAGAGAUUACGUAUUCAGUUAGAGGAGGCAUGAAAGAGUGUUCCAGAGUGUUCCUCUCCCCCGCUCUGCCUUUCUCUCUGUUCUCAGCUUCUCCUCUCACCUUCCUCAGAAGUCCCCAGACUGAAGGGAGCUUUAUUUACAUUUCAGAAGAAAUGAUCUAGAGAUCAUCUCUUUCCAGUUUCCCAGGAGCCCCUGCCUGGGGUUCUUCUGUGGGGCAGCCUCUGCACCCUGACUGUGUGGCUGAGCUGCCUCUCCCCACCCUCUCUUCCUCUCUCCCCUUCGCCUCUGCCCUCUCCACCUCCCUUCUGGUUUUCCAGGCUCAGCCCUCCGCUGCUGUUCACCAAUUGCUUCCUGGUUUCCAGCACACAGUUCAUCGUGGCUACUUUUGAUUACAUUUCCAGUCUCUUUUCAAGUUUAUUUCCCUUGGGUCUCCCGACUUGCUUGGAGCCAGGAGGAAGUAGAGGUGGCUUGAAUCUCUGGGGAAGGCUGGUGAGCUGGGAGAUGAUGGAGGAGGUUGUGGAGAGGGGCCCUUCCCACUUUGGGAGGAGGCACUCCAGUACCUUCCUGAUGUGCUGUCCAAUAUCCACAUUGCGGAGUGGGGGGCGCUGAGCCGAGCCAUUGUCUCAGAUGUUUAUGCUUCAACUCCUGCCUGGCCCAUACCAUCACCAUCUCUUUAAUACCCCCCUAAACCCCACAUUACCAUCUCUUUAAUAUCCCCCAAGCCCCACAUCACCAUCUCUUUAAUACCCCCCAAACCCCACAUCACCAUCUCUUUAAUACCCCCCAGCCCCACAUCACCAUCUCUUUAAUACCCCCAGCCCCACAUCACCAUCUCUU